UUUGCCUUUUAGGUCAUAUUUUUAAAACCUGUUACUACAGGUUUUCUUUUUUAUGUUCUCUUAAGAACUCUGUGAUUGCUUUUGUCUGCUUUAAGCAGACUGGCCAAGCUGCAGUCAGUGUUCUGGCUGAGCUCUCACCGGGAACACACAAAGCAAACCAAUUUGCUUCAUUUCAGAUUCACAAUAUUCCUGCUAGUACAGUCCUUAAUAAUUUUCCUGCAUUGUUGGCUCUUACUUAGGUUUAGUCUUGACAGCCAGAUUCUGUCCUGACGUAUACUGAUUGAUUGUUUCCCUUUGAAUUAUGCUCUUUAUUUCCCCUCCUUAUGGACACAUUUAUAAGGCAUAAAUGUCUUAGGGACAUUUCUCCUCCUUAUGCCUGGUCUUCAGUGCAUGCAUCUUCAAAUUAGUUCCUCUCGUCCAAAAUGCAUAAUAAAUCUCUCAAUAUGAUGCUUUGAUUGCAUUAUUUAUUUCAUUAGUCAAAUAAUUUACAGAGAUUAUGAUUAAAACAGUUAAAAAAAAAAGAAAAAGGAAAUAAAGAACAAUUUCAGGUCAGACCUCUGGAAGACAUCACUUAAAGUCUCUUAGUCUGAUAACAAGAAAUAGUUAACUUAGGAAAUUUUGAUUGCAAUUCUGCAAGUCCUUUCAGUUCACUGUACUUUUACAGUACCAAAUGCCUCACAAAGGCCAAAGUUCGUCAUGUCUGUUGCUUAAACCAGUUAAGUCAGCUAGAAGGGUUGCUGUAGUCAGGUAUUUUUGAUAAAACCAGGCAUCGUGAAGAGUAUGAUGUUACUAUAGCUAUUUUAAGAAUACUUAGCAACCCAUCAGGUUUUGAAUAAGACUAAGUGGCCUGUGAUUCUCAGGUAUUCCUUUUACUGCUUAAAGUUGGUACUGUUUUCUCCUUCUUCAUUUGCAAACCAAGUGAAAGUCUUCCCUAAAGAUCACUAUAACUAAAGAUAAAGUUUUCAACUUCAGCUAUAAGUGCAUACACCUGUGUUUCUGGGGGAGUUCCUUCCAGCUGUAGUUUUAUUCACCAUGCAGGCCCACUGAAUUUCUCAUCUAGCUGUGACUAGUUAGGUAUGCAUGCAUUCAGUCUCUUGCAGAAGCAUUUGUAUGAAAGAACUGAUUUCAGGAAAAAAUCAGGAGAGGGUCCAAAAAGUGAUAUAAAUUUAUCAAAAAAUCUGCCAUGGUUCCAAAAUCUCUUUUUGAAACAUAUUUCUAAAGAACUCUUACUGGAGAUGGAAAUUUAGUUAUACCCUGACAAAUGGGUAGUUUACUUGCUAAGGUUCCAUAAAUAAGGUUUCUGUACAUAGAUCUAAGUGAAUAUGCAAGGUAUGGAAUGUAGAAUAUUUCCUUACCUGCUACAACCUAAAAUUACUCAGGAAAUGAACAAAAGCUUCCUCAAAACAAACAAACAAAGAAACCAAACAAAACCCAUGAGCUAUGACUACCAGCUACCAAGUGAUCCUUUCCAAGAUGAGAGAGUACAGAAUAUUUUGGAAGCCCUUACUGCAUGAAAGCCACAGUAGCAGCCUGGAUUAGAUAAUUUGGACAUUGUCACAUUGUGCAAGCACGUAAAGUGGCAGCAAAGUCAGAAUCACAGAAGAAAAUGCUUAGGUCAACUCAAAGACCAAUUGAAAACGGGAUAUCUAAUGCAUGCUAAAAUUAUGGGUAAUGCCAGGUCAUAUUAUUACUUUAGAAUAGUGGGAAAGUAUGCACUUAAUGAGCUCUACUAAGAGCUGUGUGGCUUGAUUAUUGCAGGUGAAAUAGUUCAGCUGCUAACAAAUGGUGCAGACCUUUUUCAAAGGUCUUUUCCCUGGCCUUCCCCCCGCUCCUGCCUUCCCCAAGGUGUUUCUGAGCACUGCCUUACUUCUAGUGAGAAUCCUCAUGGCAGGCUGAUGCUGGUACAAGGUUAGACAGAAGACUCUAAGGUCAGGAUUGAUUUUGAAAUAAGUAAUUUCAAUGACUAUUAAGGUAAUCAAUACACAGCUUGGAGCAAGACAUCUAAAAGUAGCCAAUACUCUCUUCCACGUCAAGAAUUCAUCUGGAAUCUUACAAGACUGUUUUGCACAUUCUCAUAAUGAGAAGUCAGACCUUCAGUGCAAGUUGCCUCAUUCCUUUAGAGUAAGUUGAUUUGUAUCAGUGUACACCAGCAGAAGAUUUAUACCAUGGUGCCAUGGAAAUGCUAAGUCGUGGCCUGAAGCAGUGAUUGCACACCUGGUGGGAAGGCAGGGCCAACCCAGGGGAGCUCAGGUGAACACAAUGCAGCUGAUUAGAAGGGCUGGAGCCGGGAUCCACCCUUUCCCAGACCUCAUGUAAGGGUUGGCAGUGGAGGGGGAGACUCUCUUGUUGGAGAUUCCUGCCUAUCUGAAGAUGUUACAGGCCUUCCAAAGGUGCCAGUCCACUAAUGAACAACUUCAGUACAUUGUGGGUGUUUUACAAUAAGCUCCCACUUCUCUUUGUUGGCAUUGUCAACAAAAAUAAUGAAAAGUUACUUCAGCAGUGAGAUUUGUCCAAGAAAUAUGGAGAGAAUCAAUAUCAGAUGCAGAAAGGACAAGACAAUGGAAUUAAAACAUUCAAAAUUCUUUUCAGUACUUCCAGAUGCCAAUAGCAGAGACGUACUGACAUGAAAACCUCAACAAAAAAGUUGUAUCUACCCCAUCUACCUCUGUGAUGACAGAAUCACAGAAUGGCUUGUGUUGGAAGGAACCUCAAGGAUCAUGAAGCUCCAACCCCCUCGCCACAAGCAGGGCCACCAACCUCUGCAUUUAAUCCCAGACCAGACCACAUUUAAUGCCCAGGGCCCCAUCCAACCUGACGUUGAACAUCUCCAGGGAUGAGGCAUCCACAACCUCUUUGUGCAGCUGUUCCAGCACCUCACCACUCUCAUAGUAAAGAAAUUACAGAUUAUGAAGUAGUGGUUCCUGUGUGUAUCUGCUGUGCUGACCUCACCUAUAAAUGACUCUGCAGUGGAAAAGAUUCUUCUGUUCCCAAAAAUAUAAAUUACUCUUUAGACUAGGUUUUGCAUUCAAGCUAAUACAAUGGUGUUACUCAUAAGAGUGAAAUUAUUUGUGUUCAGACACGUUCCUAGAAUUAAUAUGUAACAUCUCAAAUCAGAUCUAACAGGAUGAAAAUGCGGAAUUUUGGGGGUCCAAUUUUGAGUAUGUAUCAAUCACAAAUUAUGAUUCUGGAAAAAAAAGUAGUUGUAACUAUGAGGUUAAUUAUAGUAACUAUGAGGUAGAUUAUAUGUAGUCAUCAAAUAACAGUUUUGUUACGCAAUGAGUAUCUGUCUUUGCAGUUAUAACACUGCAUCAUUUCUUAAAGUUAGUAUUAUCUUGUAACUUCACAUUGUGUUUUAAUUGCCUACUUGAAUUUGCUGUGCUUUAGUAGUGAAGACUUGCUGAUUAGUAUAUUAAUUGUUUUUAAGUGUUAAUGUAAUGCUUGGGACUUAUUUAACUUGGAUAAAUUGUGGGAUCUUUUUUUCUCUUUUCCUUCUUUAAGAGCUCAGCACAUAUAUCGGUCGAAUCUCCCUAUGAACUCAAAUCCCUGCUCUUACAUAAUGGCUAUUAGACUUAUGCUGUAAAGCUAAUCGCAGCAGGUGCCAUCACAGGACAGUGGGACAGUAGUGAACAUCCUUCCUGGUCAGUGGUCUCUGAUGUCAGACCCAGACUUUAUCCUUCUUCUACUGUGCUUUUUCAGGUGAUGUUUAAAGCCUGAUUUGACUGAUUAGUGCCAAUAUAGUUGAUUAAAGUUGCUUAUUGUUUUAAUCUGUCAGCAGUGUGAAUGUCAUGCAUCUGCUUAGGUAGGAGUAGUGGUGAAUUGAAAGGUAAGAGCUAUGUCUGAUUUCCAAUAUGAGCUGUUUUAGCCAACCCCCAUCUGAUGGGAAGCCUGUACCACUACAGGACUCAAGCUGUGCCUUUGUACUGAUCUGCUGCUCCUCAAUUCAAGAAAUACUGCCUCAAAAUAAAGCUGUUUGUCUUAUGUCAAGAGAUGAUUUCAUAUGCUCUCAGCGGUAGCUUAAGGAGAACUUUAAUCACUGCUCUAUACUACGUUUUCAUGUGUUUUGCUUUGAUUGCUUUUAUAUACAUACAUUAGUGAAAUGGGGCAGGAACAGAGGAAGUUUUUGUUACAUUCUGAUGGUCUUUGACAGGUCCUGGAUGUAUUGGGACUGUCUCCUCAACCAAGGCAGAACCCGAGUUACACAAAGGAAAGCUGUAUUGGAGAAUUGGUCUUCCAGCUGGAGAAGCCAUGCAGAAGCACAUGAUAUCAUGAACAUUAUUAUUAUUUCCCAGAAACUACUGAAAAAAGCAGUUAGUUUUGUCAUAGACAUAAAUGUUCUGCUUGGUGUCAGUGUAACCUCCAUUGUUUGCAAAGGUGGUUACCUUGUGUGUGCAGAAGUCCUGCCCGCUACCAUUAGCCAUACCGUUAGCUGUUACAGGAGGCUCUGCUGGUCAGUCAUGGUGACCCAGUCUGGCCAUUUCUGAUAUUUAAUGCAAUUCUCAAGUUGUUGUAAAACUCCAUAAGAAAAAGCCAUGCUAUAAUGAACAGACGGAAAUAAAGCUUCCCUUGUCUAAUAGUGUUAAAAUAUAUAUAUGUAUCUGAAGAAGUAAGGAAAGUGUUUGUCAUCAGAAGUUUUUCAUAAGACUUUUCAUGAUCAUUGCAUUCAGUGUUCAUUUAUCAUUUAGAGAAAAAAAAAUUCAGUAAUUAUUUUCAACCAAUAUAGGAAGAGAUUGAGAGCAAAUAUUAAGAUCAUUUGAGAGGACAAUUGAGGAUUUUAUUAUUAUUAUUUAGUAUUUCUCACAGUGCCUCUUAUUGCUAUCAUGUCUGGUUCUUCUUUUUCUACGCUUAAAUAUUCAACACCUCUGUUGUUUUGGCAUCAACAACUGACUCUGUCAGUGUACAUAAGAAGCCUCUGAUCUCUUAUGCUACCUAUGCAGAUUCUGAAUCCUGAGCCAAAACUUGGUCAAGUCAGAGGGGGGUGUUCAUACAGAGUCCUAGAAAAAUCGUUAUGGGGAACAUCUAGUAUAUCUCAAAUUGUGUAGAGGAAUCUGCUGAAACAAAGCAUGCUGGUACCUAGCUUAACUUGUACUUGUUAAUUAUUAGUGAUUAAUUUUUAAUAGCUGUAUUUUAUAGCUUGUGGUUGGUUAUGCCCCAAGGUAAUGACUUCUUGUGUCUCAUAUUCUGUUAUUUGAAGGACAUCAUUCAAUAUAGCAUCUAUACAGCUUUGUUAAAGCAUUUAGAUCUAAAUUUUCUGCAGCAAAGACACAUUUAUUAAAUAGUCCAUAUGUUUAUUACUGUUCACAAUGAUCAAAUCCUGGGAAAACAUUGCAGAAAGAAAAUAUCUAGCUUCCUACCUUAAUUCCCAUUAUUCUAUUGAUUAGAAAAGUGAAGAUUACAUGUAUUAUCAACUGUAUUAUCAGAUAAUCCAUAAUCAGAUGCCAUUUUAAUGACAGGCAUGUGCUUUUUGUGGUGUUCCCUGGUAAAGCAGUAUGAAGAAUUUAAUGACUUCAUUAAAAGAUACUGCAUAACAAAGAAAGGAAAGCCCAAUGCCAUUUAAUAUUAUCUUUACAAUGUAUUACAUUGUUGAAUUGGAUUUUUUGUUUUGCUUAUUUGGUUUUGUUGUUGUUUUGCAAUUUUAUGUUCUGUAAGUUGAACAAUAAAUGUGUGAUAAGCAAAGGAAAUGUUGAGAUUUUUGCAGAUAUGGGCAAGCAGUGUUAUGACAGGUAUGUUCUGUGUCCUUAAAGAAACAGCAAGAAUGGUUUGUACCUUAAGAUGAUGAAUCUAUAGCGGACUUUCAAAUUCUUUUAAAAAGCAAAAUAAUAAGGAAGGUUUCACUGUUGCAGAUUGUGCCUGGAAUGUUGGGGCUGGGAGAUGCCACAAAGGAUAUUUUCCUUUUUUUUUUUUUUCCAUUAUUUUAUUUGUUUGUGUGGUAUUUCGGUAUUUUUUUAUUGCCUGUCCAAGCUGACUGUACUAGUACCAUUGUGUUCUCAGAAGUGGAUCUGGAUGAUUCUUUACUUUUUUACUGGAGGUCGGAUUUACUUUUUUUUAGGAAGUCAGAUCCUGUCAUGAAGAUACUAGACUGGAAGUCAGGACUUUCCUUCUUGUGUCACAGACCUUGUGUGGGCCUAGCCUGGACAGGGUGUUUGAUUCUCACUGCUGCAGUAUUCCGUGUGAAAUUUGAAGUUUUGAUUUAUUCUUUCAAUUUGUUUAAGAAUACAUGUAUUCAUCAUGUAUGAGAUACAGAGAUGUAAUACUAAUGGAUACCUGGAUACAGUCCAUUGGAACGUUGAGUUUUGUAUCUCAAUUAUUGCAAAGCCUAAAAAUAGUUAAUAUUUGAGAGCAAAAAACAAAAUCGAGAAAACUCUUUGUCUUAAAUCUGCCUAUUCAUGAUUUGUCUAAAAGCACAUUAGUUUUGGGAAACAAAACUGAGAUUGUCUGCUGUUUUAGAACUUAAAAAUCAGUGAAAAUCAGCUGUUAUCAUCUUGACUUGGAACUGAAUUUGCUUUGUAACCUAAAAAGGCUGUAAUUUUGUAAAUAGGUAAUAGUUGUGGUAUUGUUUGUAUCAUUAAUACUGUAUUGCAUAUGUUACGAGUGUUGAUGCUGCUAGAUCUCUCAGUGGCUCAGGUUACUGAAAGCUAUUUAAAGAAGUCUCUGAUGCAGAGAUGCCAUUACAUUUGAUAUCUUACAUUGUGAUUUACAGGUUUUUAAGGCUUUGUUUGAUGUUGAUUUUGUUUUUUUUUUCAGAGCUCCUCUCCAGUGGUUCUCUGUUUGUUGGUCUGGCAAAGUCAUUUAAAUGAAAGUUCACAGUGCCAGAAUAUGGUUUAGCAAUUCACUGAAGCCACUAGAAUUGGGUUUUAUUUAUUUUAUUGUUUUAUUGCUGUCCUGCUCUGCUUGAAAUUCACCCAUUUAUGUUUAAGUAUGACAACAUAAAGCAAGUAGUAACAACUGUUUCUUUUUUUUUCAUUGAUCUGCGACAAAUUCUUCAGCUUA
ensembl:lncRNA